rnacentral:rRNA from 1 species
CCUACGGGAGGCUGCAGUGAGGAAUAUUGGUCAAUGGCCGGAAGGCUGAACCAGCCAUGCCGCGUGAAGGUCAGUGCUCUAUGGGCGUUAAACUUCUUUUGUGCGGGAGCAAUAAUUGUCUCGUGUGACCAGACGAGAGUACCGUACGAAUAAGCAUCGGCUAACUCCGUGCCAGCAGCCGCGGUAAUACGGGGGAUGCACGCGUUAUCCGGAUUUAUUGGGUUUUAAGGGUGCGUAGGCGGUGGGGUAAGUCAGCGGUGAAAUGACCCCGCUCAACGGGGUGAAGGGCCAUUGAAACUGGCGUGCUUGAAUGCGGAUGCCGUGGGAGGAAUGUGUGGUGUAGCGGUGAAAUGCAUAGAUAUCACACAGAACACCGAUUGCGAAGGCAUCUCACGAAUCCACGAUUGACGCUGAUGCACGAAAGCGUGGGUAUCAAACAGGAUUAGAUACCCCGGUAGUC